rnacentral:rRNA from 1 species
CCAGCAGCUGCGGUAAUUCCAGCUCCAAUAGCGUAUAUUAAAGUUGCUGCAGUUAAAAAGCUCGUAGUUGGAUCUCGGGUGCAGGCUUGCGGUCCGUCUCGCGGCGGUCACUGCUCGUCCUGGCCUCCCAGCCGGCGUACCGUCCCUUGGUGCUCUUGACUGAGUGUCUCGGGCGGCCGGAACGUUUACUUUGAAGAAAUUAGAGUGCUCAAAGCAGGCCUUGGUCGCCUGAAUAAUGGUGCAUGGAAUAAUGGAAUAGGACCUCGGUUCUAUUUUGUUGGUUUUCGGAGCUCGAGGUAAUGAUUAAUAGGGACUGACGGGGUCAUUCGUAUUGCGGCGCUAGAGGUGAAAUUCUUGGACCGUCGCAAGACGAACUACAGCGAAAGCAUUUGCCAAGCAUGUUUUCA